GGGACCUACUCCACUCAGAUAGCCCCGGUCCGCCAAAAAAGGAGGAACAAUCUCAUCCGCCCGACUUGCGGUGCGGCAGUGUGGAGACCUGCCGUAAUCCGGCGCUUCGCGUCGGGAGAUGCGCGCAUGCGGAGGCACGCGCAUUCAAGUCAGAUGUAUGGCA
rnacentral:ncRNA from 1 species